UGCAGUCGAGCGGAUGAAGGGAGCUUGCUCCUGGAUUCAGCGGCGGACGGGUGAGUAAUGCCUAGGAAUCUGCCUGGUAGUGGGGGAUAACGUCCGGAAACGGGCGCUAAUACCGCAUACGUCCUGAGGGAGAAAGUGGGGGAUCUUCGGACCUCACGCUAUCAGAUGAGCCUAGGUCGGAUUAGCUAGUUGGUGGGGUAAAGGCCUACCAAGGCGACGAUCCGUAACUGGUCUGAGAGGAUGAUCAGUCACACUGGAACUGAGACACGGUCCAGACUCCUACGGGAGGCAGCAGUGGGGAAUAUUGGACAAUGGGCGAAAGCCUGAUCCAGCCAUGCCGCGUGUGUGAAGAAGGUCUUCGGAUUGUAAAGCACUUUAAGUUGGGAGGAAGGGCAGUAAGUUAAUACCUUGCUGUUUUGACGUUACCAACAGAAUAAGCACCGGCUAACUUCGUGCCAGCAGCCGCGGUAAUACGAAGGGUGCAAGCGUUAAUCGGAAUUACUGGGCGUAAAGCGCGCGUAGGUGGUUCAGCAAGUUGGAUGUGAAAUCCCCGGGCUCAACCUGGGAACUGCAUCCAAAACUACUGAGCUAGAGUACGGUAGAGGGUGGUGGAAUUUCCUGUGUAGCGGUGAAAUGCGUAGAUAUAGGAAGGAACACCAGUGGCGAAGGCGACCACCUGGACUGAUACUGACACUGAGGUGCGAAAGCGUGGGGAGCAAACAGGAUUAGAUACCCUGGUAGUCCACGCCGUAAACGAUGUCGACUAGCCGUUGGGAUCCUUGAGAUCUUAGUGGCGCAGCUAACGCGAUAAGUCGACCGCCUGGGGAGUACGGCCGCAAGGUUAAAACUCAAAUGAAUUGACGGGGGCCCGCACAAGCGGUGGAGCAUGUG
rnacentral:rRNA from 1 species